UGAGCGUUCAGGCGCCGAAUCAAAGGGAAAUCAAUCAAAAUUACCCGGAUAUCAACAUGGCGGAACACAUGCUGCAGUGGCAUUGAGAAAUCUUUAACAAAAUUGCUUUUUAACACUAGAAAUUGUUGUGUUCGACAAUAAAUAAUAUAAAUGUUGAAAGACAUUGUGCAUAAUGACGAUGGUGGUGAUGAUGUUGAUGGUGAUGAUAGCGAUGAUGAUGAUGGCCCAUGGCUUGUCCUGGUUCACUUUUACCCAUUUAACACAGAUCAACGAUGUUAACGUCUAACAGGUUAUUUUGUUUUCAAAACUGAAGACACCAAUUUCGGCAGCACAAGAUCUCGGAUUAUUGUAACAGAUGAUCACAGGCGUGCGUAACAUAUGGUAGCAGUUAGGCGUGUGUAACAGAUGGUAGCAGUCAGGCGUGUGUAACAGAUGGUAGCAGUCAGGCGUGUGUAACAGAUAGUAACAGUUAUAACAGAAUAUCAAAGAUUAAGAAAGGAAACAAAUAGUGACAGCAGACGACAGUAUGUACUUAGUGAAAACCCUUUUUUUAUGUAGUUUCGAUUUUACUGAUCUCUAUAUUUUGGCAUGUGAAAAUAUACAGACAAACGAGCAAAACAAUAUGUGUCAUUUGCCUUGCACAGUGAGAGGUGUGCAAAUGGUGCAAGAUGUUGGCUUCUAACACAGUGGAUAUACAUGAGAACAUCGUUCAGCAAGAUCAAAAUAUUUUCACAAAACAGAGUUACAGACUAUGGCAAUGAGGCUUGGUUUCUCUGAAUGAAACACAGAAAGCAGACGUGAUCGACUUAGCAGAUACGAAUUGGCGCUUUUUCCAGAUACUUGGAACUCUUCUAAAUAAAGAAUAUGAAAGCGAGGCUAGGCGUCUGUGAAUGAAAUACAGGGGGUAGACGUAUCGGACAAGCGACAACUUAGAAAAAGGUCGUCCUCCACGCAGAUGUCAAAGAAUGUUAAAGAAAGUACUUAGGUAGUCUUCGACAAUAGAAGGAAGGAAAGAACGUGGCGGCGGCAGUCCAGAAACAAGCAUGACUAAACAGGUAAUACCUUAAAUACAGUCACAGUUACACAGAAAAGACGGAAAAUAAAGAAAGAAAAAAGAACAGAUAAUAGACUAGUAUACUAAAUAUACAGACAGAGAAUUGGAUGUUCAAUAUGCAGUAAUAUAAAAUCAUAUACAGUUAUUAAAUAAGAUACAGUAUAAGAAAAACAAAUGGAAGAUUCGAAAUUUUCUAUUAGCUCACA